rfam:Danio rerio unplaced genomic contig CTG470, GRCz11 reference primary assembly.
GCCCGGAUAGCUCAGUCGGUAGAGCAUCACACUUUUAAUGUGAGGGUCCAGGGAUCAAGUCCCUGUUUGGGCG